rnacentral:rRNA from 1 species
UACGGAGGGUGCAAGCGUUAUCCGGAUUCACUGGGCUUAAAGGGUGCGUAGGCGGGCAGGUAAGUCAGUGGUGAAAUCCUUGAGCUUAACUCGAGAACUGCCAUUGAUACUAUCUGUCUUGAAUAUUGUGGAGGUAAGCGGAAUAUGUCAUGUAGCGGUGAAAUGCUUAGAUAUGACAUAGAACACCAAUUGCGAAGGCAGCUCACUACACAAAGAUUGACACUGAGGCACGAAAGCGUGGGGAUCAAACAGG